rnacentral:rRNA from 1 species
GAUGAACGCUGGCGGCGUGCCUAAUACAUGCAAGUCGAGCGAACAGACGAGGAGCUUGCUCCUCUGACGUUAGCGGCGGACGGGUGAGUAACACGUGGAUAACCUACCUAUAAGACUGGGAUAACUUCGGGAAACCGGAGCUAAUACCGGAUAAUAUAUUGAACCGCAUGGUUCAAUAGUGAAAGACGGUUUUGCUGUCACUUAUAGAUGGGUCCGCGCCGCAUUAGCUAGUUGGUAAGGUAACGGCUUACCAAGGCAACGAUGCGUAGCCGACCUGAGAGGGUGAUCGGCCACCCUGGAACUGGGACACGGUCCAGACUCCUACGGGAGGCAGCAGUAGGGAAUCUUCCGCAAUGGGCGAAAGCUUGACGGAGCAACGCCGCGUGAGUGAUGAAGGUCUUCGGAUCGUAAAACUCUGUUAUUAGGGAAGAACAAAUGUGUAAGUAACUAUGCACGUCUUGACGGUACCUAAUCAGAAAGCCACGGCUAACUACGUG